GAUCAUGGCUCAGAAUCAACGCUGGCGGCGUGCCUCAGACAUGCAAGUCGAACGAUUAAACUUUCCUUCGGGAAAGAUAUAAAGUGGCGCACGGGUGAGUAACACGUAGGUAAUCUACCUUUGAGUGGGGAAUAACAAUCGGAAACGAUUGCUAAUACCGCAUAAUGCAGCGGCACCGCAAGGUGACAGUUGUUAAAGGAGCAAUCCGCUUAAAGAGGAGCCUGCGGCAGAUUAGCUAGUUGG
rnacentral:rRNA from 1 species